rnacentral:rRNA from 1 species
UACAGAGGGUGCGAGCGUUAAUCGGAAUUACUGGGCGUAAAGCGCGCGUAGGCGGCUUUUCAAGUCGAUUGUGAAAUCCCCGGGCUUAACCUGGGAACUGCAGUCGAGACUGUCUAGCUAGAGUAUGGGAGAGGGAAGUGGAAUUUCAGGUGUAGCGGUGAAAUGCGUAGAUAUCUGAAGGAACAUCAGUGGCGAAAGCGACUUCCUGGACCAAUACUGACGCUCAUGUGCGAAAGCGUGGGGAGCAACAG